UAACCGGGAACCGAUUGGCUUUUGUAGAAACCCGACACCAAAGAGAGUGAGAACUGGGACCGCGUCACGAGUGUCCAGGCCGGAAGGCCCGGGGAGAAGGGAACCCCCAGCACCGAGCGUUCUCGCCCCAGACCCCGCCCUCGGGAAAAUAAAAAAUCAUUCAAGGAAAGGAAAGUCUACUAAAUGCUCAGUUGUGACUAACAUUUCCAUCAUCAUAACAAUGCAAACACUGCACUGUGAGCUAAUCAAAAUGCUAUGUCCUUGGACAAAUUUUUCCAUACAAUCCAGCCCAUCUUUUCCAGCAAUCUAAUCUCUAGGCAGAAGAGCUCAGUCAAAAGGUGAUGGGUCUGGAGCAGAGGACCAGAAUGUGCGUCCUGACACAUGAGCUGAAGAAGAAUGUCAAGUGUUUCACAAGUGUAAGGGAUUUUAAUGUCAUGUGCUUUUUGAAAACAUUAUUUAUGUGCACAAAAGAGAAUUCAAAAGAUACUCAAGAGUAUACAAAAAUAAGUAAGUCAUAUUGUUUCCCUCAUCCCCUGGUCACCCAAGUCCUCUACUCAGAAGCCACUGCAGUUAGUAAUUUCUCACUUAUCUUCCCAGAAAAAUAUAUUUAUGCAUUGCUGUAUACUGUUAUCUGAGUAAAAGCUCCAGCCAUGGACAGAGAGAAAUUAUUUGCAAAUUCACAUAUCUGAUUCAAGACCUGUUUUAGAACAUACAUAGAACCCUUAAACUCAGCAAUAUGAAAGCAAACAACAAUUUAAAAGUGGAGAAAAGUCUGAUAAAGAUUUCAUUAUAGAAGAUUUAUUAG